rnacentral:rRNA from 1 species
GGGGAAUAUUGCACAAUGGAGGGAACUCUGAUGCAGCGACGCCGCGUGAGUGAAGAAGGUCUUCGGAUCGUAAAACUCUGUCCUUGGUGAAGAAAAGGACGGUAGCCAAGGAGGAAGCCCCGGCUAACUACGUGCCAGCAGCCGCGGUAAUACGUAGGGGGCGAGCGUUGUCCGGAUUUACUGGGCGUAAAGGGUGAGUAGGCGGUUAUAUAUGUCAGGUGUAAAAGGCUAUGGCUUAACCAUGGUUAGCACUUGAAACUGUAUGACUUGAGUGCAGGAGAGGUAAGCGGAAUUCCUAGUGUAGCGGUGAAAUGCGUAGAUAUUAGGAGGAACACCGGUGGCGAAGGCGGCUUACUGGACUGUAACUGACGCUGAGUCACGAAAGCGUGGGUAGCAAAC